GACGCUGGCGGCAUGCCUAACNCAUGCAAGUCGAACGGAGAUAAGAGCUUCGGUUUUUAUCUUAGUGGCGGACGGGUGAGUAACGCGUGAGCAACCUGCCUUUCAGAGGGGGAUAACAUUGGGAAACCGGUGCUAAUACCGCAUAAUGUAGUCUGAUUGCAUGUUUGGACUACCAAAGAUUUAUCGCUGAAAGAUGGGCUCGCGUCUGAUUAGAUAGUUGGUGAGGUAACGGCUCACCAAGUCGACGAUCAGUAGCCGGACUGAGAGGUUGAACGGCCACAUUGGAACUGAGAAACGGUCCAGACUCCUACGGGAGGCAGCAGUGGGGAAUAUUGGGCAAUGGGCGAAAGCCUGACCCAGCGACGCCGCGUGAAGGAAGAAGGUCUUCGGAUUGUAAACUUCUGACGACAGGGAAGAACCAAUGACGGUACCUGUUGAGAAAGCCACGGCUAACUACGUG
rnacentral:rRNA from 1 species